AUAGAUAAGAACAAAUGAUUGAUGUUUGUUUGUAUGUUUUUUCAGUUCCAUCUGAAAAUGUGCAGUUGAGAACUCUACUAACAGAAGCUGAAUUGUUUGUUAACUUUGCAUUUUGAUUAUAUUCAGUGGUUUAGAAUGCUGACCUUUAGGACAAAUCAGACUAACUUGGUUUGUUUCCCAUUUGGUACAUUUGACUCUUGAAAGUGCUUCUCUUUAAUUUUUAUUAUAUAUUUUUCCAUUACCAUUUAGUUCCCUUAUACCCUGUCCUUGCAGCAACCACCACACUAAAGUGCUUUUUUAUGGAUGCCCUAUUUCAGAGCAAGUUGCUAAAAUAACAGAGGUAGAGAAGUUAACUCUGAAUUUAAUCAUUUUACCUUUCUUUGUUUAAAAAAUGUUUAAUCUGUUUUACAUGUUAUGUAUAGAGAACACUGAACCUUCACGAAAGUAGACAGAAUGAUACAGUGAAUCCCUAUCACCUGUUGCCUAGCUUCAAACAGGAACUGUCCUCCCUUCUGUAUUAGUUUGGUGUGGAUCACAGACACAUUGUCAUCUGUGAGGUGUUUUCAUUUUUAGGCAGAGAGGGUACUACUGUGAGUCUGUUCAUGGGUUCCCUGGGGGCUGUACAUUGGAAAUGGGCAGGCACUGAGGGUGGUCUAGGGCUUGGUGAUAGGGCUGCUGCCAACGUGAGUUGUUUUGAAUUUCUGUAGCUCUUAGGUCUGAUGAGUGAUUUCUUUAAAGUGUAGUGCAGGCUUUGUGUGUUGUUUCAAAAAUAUCGAUUAGUCCUCUACCAUCUUCCAGCAAGACAUUGUGAUAAUUUUUAAAAAGGUAUAUACAUAUAAUAAGAUUCAGAAAGAGAGGGAGAAAUCAGUGCAAAGGGUGGAUGAGAGUCAUUUUAUAAUCUGAAGCCAUUUACAGAAACUACAAGAGACGCAUGGUGCGAGACCUUAUACAAUGAUCGGAGGUGUACUGUGGAAUUUUCUAGUGGCCAGAGUCAGAAGGAAAUGCAAUCAGUUUUAUCCUUCAGAUUUUUUUGUCACUGAAGACAAAUUUUCCUCAUGGGAUCUUCUAAAAGGAGCCAAUGGGGCAGCCGGUGGAGGUGGCAGAAUGACUUGGUUGCUGGGCAUAUGGUUGUUUGGGCAGCCCAGAGUACUCUUUUGACUUGCAUUUGGGGUUGCAGAGACAAUAACCUGUAAUAGCUAUAAUUGACUGAACUCCAUUAAGUGUCAGGCACUGUGCCAGGUGAUUUCGUUUUAUUUAAUCUUCACUGCCUUCCUGCUGUAUAGAUACUACGUUCCCCAUUUUUCAGGUGAGGAAAUUGAAACUCAAGGAAAUGAGUUGCUGAAGUUACACAGCGGUUUGCUUCAGUGUGCUAAAAUAUUUGACAUAUAGAUACAUGAUUAUUAAUUUAUGUUUUGUGGGUGUAUGUAUUUAAGUAUGUAGUUACUUUUUUGAGGAAAAAAAAAGGACUGGCUUGUCUAUAGAUCACUGAGUGGAAACAUGAUCACUUUCGAGAGAACAGGGUUGUGGGCCAUUGUUCACAAUGAAGCUUUUUAUCCAUGCUUCCUGUUCGUGGUUGUUGUGCUGUUAUUUUCAUUGCACAUUGCCAUUUCUGGCUUUCAUUCUUUUUAUUUUAAUA